rnacentral:rRNA from 1 species
UAGGGAAUAUUGGUCAAUGGGUGAGAGCCUGAACCAGCCAUGCCGCGUGCAGGAAGAAGGCCUUCUGGGUUGUAAACUGCUUUUAUUAGGGGAUAAAAUGACCUUGCGAGGUUAAUUGAAGGUACCUGAUGAAUAAGCCACGGCUAACUACGUGCCAGCAGCCGCGGUAAUACGUAGGUGGCAAGCGUUGUCCGGAUUUAUUGGGUUUAAAGGGUGCGUAGGCGGUCCUAUAAGUCAGUGGUGAAAUGCUCUAGCUUAACUAGAGAGGUGCCAAUGAUACUGUAGGACUUGAGUACAGAUGAGGUAGGCGGAAUUGACGGUGUAGCGGUGAAAUGCAUAGAUAUCGUCAAGAACACCUAUAGCGAAGGCAGCUUACUGGGCUGUAACUGACGCUGAGGCACGAAAGUGUGGGGAUCAAACAG